rnacentral:lncRNA from 1 species
CGGCCCGCGCCUCCCGCCUGCCCGGGUCCCCCCGGACCGCAGCAGCAGCCUCCGGGGCCUUCGCCGCUCCUCCCAGCCCCGCCGCCCUCCGCGGCCCCGCUGCGAGCAGCGCUCUGCUCCGCGGCCUGCGUGGCGGUGACGGGGCGAGGCGGCGCUGGACGCGGCACUGCCGCCGCCGCUGCCCGUCUCCCUCCCCGGUGGGUGCCUGGGAUGGCUCUCGUGUCCACCCGGCACCCGUGGGGUGGCCACGGCCUCCGCCCUACAGAUGCUCCGUGGCCACCCAAGCGGUCCCGCACCCUCAGCCGGGGGUGCCAGGGGCCUGGGGUCACCGAGAUGCUCGGGGGCUGCCGGGACACGGGCCGUGACAUUUCCCGGCCGCUGCGGUCAAGGGACCGGGGCCAGCCUGGCCGCCAGGACCGGGUGCUCCCGUGCCCCCCGGGUCCCGAUGGACGUCUCCGGGUGGGGAGGACACAGCGCCCUUUGUUGCUGCCGGUCCCGACGGCAGGGACCAGGCUCCGCGUCCCUCCCUCCACCCCCGCCCUCGGGACUGGCACCCGUCAGCGAUUUGGGGUUUAAAGAGCGGGCGGCAGCCGCUGCCCCAGCCCAAAGCAUCCCGGGCGAGGAGGCGGAGGUGAGACAACGGCUGUGGGGCUGCGCCGGGGGCCAGGGAGGCUGGGGGGCAGGCUCUGCAAGCACUGCAGUUUCGGGGGGCUUCAGAGCACCCCUGGGUGCUGGCUUGGGGACAGAGGCUCAGCCCCACACCGGGGCAAGCCCAAGCAGCAGUGGGGCACCGGGCCGGGACAAGGCCCCGUUGUGCCGCUGCGGCCACCACAGUGCCCAUCAAUGGCCGCUUUAUGCGCGGUGGCCGCCCGGCCCAGCCGUCCCCGCCGCAGUGGCGCUGUGCGAGGCCCACGGGGAGCCACCCGGUCCCGCAGGGACAGGGUGGCCGCGGCCGGGCCUGGGGUGGGGGACGAGCGAGCAGGUAGUGAGGGGCUGACGUUAGCGUGGGGCUGCGGGAGUGGGCAAAGGGCCUGUGCGUUUCCCCGGCUGUGUGGGGGCUCGGUGGGUCGGGACCCAA